CGUGCCUAAUACAUGCAAGUCGAGCGGACAGAAGGGAGCUUGCUCCCGGAUGUUAGCGGCGGACGGGUGAGUAACACGUGGGUAACCUGCCUGUAAGACUGGGAUAACUCCGGGAAACCGGAGCUAAUACCGGAUAGUUCCUUGAACCGCAUGGUUCAAGGAUGAAAGACGGUUUCGGCUGUCACUUACAGAUGGACCCGCGGCGCAUUAGCUAGUUGGUGGGGUAAUGGCUCACCAAGGCGACGAUGCGUAGCCGACCUGAGAGGGUGAUCGGCCACACUGGGACUGAGACACGGCCCAGACUCCUACGGGAGGCAGCAGUAGGGAAUCUUCCGCAAUGGACGAAAGUCUGACGGAGCAACGCCGCGUGAGUGAUGAAGGUUUUCGGAUCGUAAAGCUCUGUUGUUAGGGAAGAACAAGUGCGAGAGUAACUGCUCGCACCUUGACGGUACCUAACCAGAAAGCCACGGCUAACUACGUGCCAGCAGCCGCGGUAAUACGUAGGUGGCAAGCGUUGUCCGGAAUUAUUGGGCGUAAAGGGCUCGCAGGCGGUUUCUUAAGUCUGAUGUGAAAGCCCCCGGCUCAACCGGGGAGGGUCAUUGGAAACUGGGAAACUUGAGUGCAGAAGAGGAGAGUGGAAUUCCACGUGUAGCGGUGAAAUGCGUAGAGAUGUGGAGGAACACCAGUGGCGAAGGCGACUCUCUGUUCUGUAACUGACGCUGAGGAGCGAAAGCGUGGGGAGCGAACAGGAUUAGAUACCCUGGUAGUCCACGCCGUAAACGAUGAGUGCUAAGUGUUAGGGGGUUUCCGCCCCUUAGUGCUGCAGCUAACGCAUUAAGCACUCCGCCUGGGGAGUACGGUCGCAAGACUGAAACUCAAAGGAAUUGACGGGGGCCCGCACAAGCGGUGGAGCAUGUGGUUUAUUUCGAAGCAACGCGAAGAACCUUACCAGGUCUUGACAUCCUCUGAC
rnacentral:rRNA from 1 species